rnacentral:misc_RNA from 1 species
GGAGAGUUUACUUGCAUGAUGAACAUGGGACAACGGCAGAAGCGGACAGCCAUAUGAUUUCCAAGGGGCUCAAUAAAUCUACUCGGCAGAAGAAGAUUGAUGCCUAUGCUGCCAUGAUGGUACUAGAGAGAUAUUUUUUCAUGUCAGGCGAGGGAACCGAGCUUGUAGUGCCUAAGAGUCUAGUCUUACAAGAUAAGCUUAUUGAGGGACCACCUACAGACCCAGACUUUAAGGAUCCCCCCCUGUGGAGUUGGAUUUGAGGAAGGAAAGAAGUUGAUCCAGCGGGGGGCCUUUGGAACCGGCAGCGAUAAGGCUGAGAAGGACAUGGAUUGACAAGGGCGAGAGGACAACGUUGGAGGCCUUGGCUUCGUUUUGGAGAAGGUGCUUGGUAAUGGCUAAGGCGACGUCGCCAUGGCUUCUGAUAGUUUCUCUGAUGUCCAUUUUCCGGCAGCC